rnacentral:rRNA from 1 species
AACGAACGCUGGCGGCAUGCCUAACACAUGCAAGUCGAACGAGACCUUCGGGUCUAGUUGCGCACGUGUGCGUAACGCGUGGGAACCUGCCCUUAGGUUCGGAAUAACUCCCCGAAAGGGGUGCUAAUACCGGAUAAUGUCUUCGGACCAAAGAUGUAUCGCCUUUGGAUGGGCCCGCGUUGGAUUAGCUAGUUGGUAGGGUAAAAGCCUACCAAGGCGACGAUCCAUAGCUGGUCUGAGAGGAUGAUCAGCCACACUGGGACUGAGACACGGCCCAGACUCCUACGCGAGGGAGCAGAGGAGAAUAUUGGACAAUGGGCGAAAGCCUGAUAAAGCAAUGCCGGGGGAGUGAUGAAGGCCUUAGGGUUGUAAAGCUCUUUUACCCGGGAUGAUAAUGACAGUACCGGGAGAAUAAGCACCGGCUAACUACGUG